GUAGUGGCAGCGAGAUGGUAGCCAAGAAACGAACGAGCGCACAAGCAACCAAGGCGGCUGGACCGCUCGAGAUAAUUCUCUUUAUGAUACAUGGUUAUUACUUGACGAUCGAUUCGAGUUUCAAAACCGCAGAGGGGCCCCCAUAAAGCCAUACCGGUGCAUCGGGAUGCAGUAGGGAUGCUGAGGUACAGUGGUGCAUCUUGGAUCCUGGCGACUACAGCCAUACGACGAUGAAGACGAUCGACGGUGUCUGCACGGCUGAGAAAUGCGAGUCUCAUUAAAUAAGAGGGGGGAAAAAAAAAGUGCGACCACGGAAUGCCUGACAUGUGGUGCACAUCCGCGUGUAUGCGUACAAACCGCAACGUACAAGUGCAAUUUUCCUUGGGUCUUCUUGAUAAAAUUGUAAGUAGCGCCAAUGCGGUCGAUUUCGUAACUAGGGGCUUGGUCCCCGCGAAAUUUAAAUUUACGCGUCUAACACAGCCCUGGAUACGAUGCCUUGGGUCGAACAGACAAUUAUUACGAGCAACGUAGUACACGUGUACGAGUGACGAGCUACGCCCACCGUCCAAAUUGCGUAAAUCGAAUGCGAAAGAAGAGGGAAAAAAAAACACGGUUGAAAGUCUCUCAAUUAAGGCUGUUCUCGUUCAUAAGGUAAUCGGUCGUGGAGACCAAUGGUGGCCACGAGUAUAUGUAUACCGGGACAGCGAUAGUAGAUCGUUUUAAUAAAACCGGCCGUAUUUCAUGGACGAGAGGCUUGAACGUUAAGUCCAUUGGGUUGGCAGGAACUGCUGGGCUGGCCUCUCUCGGCAGCCGAGUGAUUAAUAUUGCUGCUGGAAGACGGAGGUUUACUGCCUUCCCGCGGCAGUUGCUUGUCGGAGCUACGUCAAGCGGCCACCUAUGGUUUACCGUAGAAUAUUCUCAGUCGCCCGAGGGACGUACGACCUCUCGCGCUGAGACCAUAGACUUGAGUGGCGAGUGAGUGGCGUUGGCCCAGUUGCAGGGACACGCAUAGGUCUUUAGAAUCGUACCGAAUAGCCCCGAGCGCCGGCGAGGGGACACGAGCCGAGACGGAACGACCCGAGGAAGACCGAGACCAUCCGACUGUCGUCAGCCGACGAUCUAGUUCGACGUAGUACCUAGAGACGCGAUAUGAAAUCGUCUCGAGUCCGCUUUUCUUCUUGACUCGCAAGAAAUCACGGAGUGCAGCUCUCGAUAUUCCGGUCGAGAAAUAAUAAAAGAAACGACCGAUGCGUUAUGCCGGCUGGAAAUGAUACGAGAGCCCGCGAUCGGGCCGUGACAAUAACAAUAACACCGACUCGUCGAGUCGACGCGAAUGACGCGACGAAGAAAUAAAGUACGAAGAGAAAGACUGCGUGGAAACGUAUACGACGCGCCGUAGGAGUCAGCCAUAAAUAAAAAUGAAAGGAAAAAGCAAUGAGAGGUAACUCUAGGACGUAAAUGGUCUUGGAAGAUCUCGUCGCGUAAAAAUCCGUCAUCACGCCAUGUUGUUAUCCGUGGAAUCUCGUUGAGCUUCGAGGAGUCCUCGGUGUAUGGCUAUUCUUGUGCACGGUUGCGUUUAUCGGAUAGUAUACACCAUUAGUAAUGGGGAUUGCUAUUCCGUUCGACAACAAUGCCGCCAUUCAAGUUGGUUAGGCGUGUCGGCGACCAGCGGCUUACGACAUCCUUACCGAUGGGGAGCACUGUAGUCACGUUCGUCCGUCGCUUACUGUUGGUUAACAAUUCCUCCAAGAGUAAUAUCUACAUUGCGGACGGCACCCUAAUUCGAAAGUCCUCGAAUACCCGUCGAUCUGCUGUAUCGUUACGCCCUUCAUCGAUAGGUUAUCGGUGCGCGAUCGUCUUAUACGGGAAUUCAAUACCCGUUCCGAAUGUAUAUAUACAGACAUAUGUAUAAUGUCGACUAUAUUGCUAUGCCGUUUAUCCGCACACUCUCUUUUACCACCGCAGGCACCUUUCACCCGAGGCGUGGUGCAAUAUGCUCGUGCAAUUAUGCCCAGGAAGAAGCGUCUCGGCUCUCGACGUAAGUCUCCAUGCUGGUGGGAUAUCUUCGUAAGACCAAUCUACGCGACAGCGAGCUCGAUCGUCCCGUCCUGGAAUUCCUGCCGGCCACUUGACUGUAAUCCUCGGACCCCGAGAGCAUCCAGGAAAUUAAAACGACCUCCCGCAAGAUAAAUCUCCAGGAAUCUUCUAACCUAAUCCGCAAUAACGAUAGCAACGGCAGCGAACCGCGACCACACCCUGGUCUUCCGAGGUCUCGACCAGACACGACUUUCAGCCUCGCCUCUGCUUCCUUGGCAGCGAACAUCGACAAGCGAAGGACGUUACCGCAAAUCAUCAACGAGUUUCAUAUUAAAUGUCCGACAAACAUUACUUGCCUCGCCUUCCACCUUUCACCUGGACGAACGUAGCCAGGAGUUCUUAACCACCGGACUCGGCCGCUUAAACGGCAGAUUCUCAACGAGAUUAGACUCAUUUGACGUGGUACAUCCUCGGGAUGUCCAGGAGUGGCGCAAUGUAAAUCUGACUUUGAGAGAGACGAACAAGAAAAAAUGUACAUAACCAAACAGAUCGUUUUAGAUCAUUCGUCAGCAUCUUGGCAUCUUUCGAGAUGAACAUGGGCCUUUCUUUAAUUAUGAAUUGGGUAACCAAAUCACGAAAAUUCGUUUACUUCACAAUAAUCGUGUACCUGAUGUCCUCGGUUGCGUCGCUAUGUGUAUCUCUGGAUAUAUGGCGGUUACGAUGACUCGAGACGCAGAGGGGUUAGUUUAUUUUCGGUCCUUACGGAGGCGAGGAUUAAUGACUCCGGUGUGGCAGACGUAUAUGAUAAGAUCGACGUAUUCCACUGAUUGAUGCUGUGGGUCGAUGAUUAUAUCGCGACGUGUACCUCGUAAAUAUACGUCCUCGAAUUUAUAAUUUAUCCAUAUUACAGUAAGGGGGAAGAGGACGCGGGACCUGCCGCAUUUCUGACAGUAGGACCACUUUACGUUGAUGACCGCGUCCUCGAUUAUCCUUGAAAUUACGCAUGAGAUUUCUUUUUGACAUGAUUUUCAGUUAUAACCGUGACUGCCCGUGAGAUCGUGACUGCCGAUAGCCAGAUUGUCGUGAAAUUAAGAAAAAUAAUGGCUGUCUUCAAAAACUCACGGGUCGCUUCGAUGGUUCCGGGCCCUGCCGUACGAUCUCCAAUGGCGCUGGAAUCGACGGUCUACCGAGGUACCAAUCCUCCCGCGGAUUGUAAUUGUCCAGGAGUUUCAGUAAUCGCGGCACGUUCACGUAAUUGUCGUCGUCGAAGUGGCAGAACCACCUGAAAAAGAAGAAAACGUAUGAUGUCGAUUAAUAACUUUUUUUUUUCAGAAAAAAAAAACCUUAUACAGGUAUCGACAACCGGUUCAAGUACGACAUUGAAAUGCAUCCAAUAAAUAAAUUUACAAGUACUUAAUAUGAAAUCAAUAAAUUAGUCCAUAAAUCACACACGCCCACGUCGAGAGUUCGGCGUAAAAUUAUUUUAUGAAUUUAAAUUUUUUACCAUUAAUAAAACACCACUCUACCUUUCCCUCUUAAUUAUUCUACCUCCAUUCCUCAUUCCCACGAUAUACAAAAAUAAUGUGACUACUCACACGUGUGUGUCACGUAUACAAAAAAAAAAUCAUUGAAUAUUCUUAUUACCCGAAUAACCCGAAACACCCCCCUUUCCUUCUUUCUUAAUUUCUCCUAUACUCACAGCUCGCCUAAGAGCGUCAUAGAGAAACUGAAAAAGGGGAGGGAAAAUUAUUUUUUUUUUUUUUUAUAAAAUCUGACGCACAAAAUCAUGUACCGAGUCUUGAUAUAUGAUAGCGCGACAGACGUCGGCCUAACGUAUGCAGGAAGCGAUUUAACGAAUAGUCAAGCGGUCAGGAUGCACUAUUAGUGCAGCAGGGCCCACGGGUGGUCAUUCCUUCCAGCAUCAUUGCCUGCAUCAUUAAUACGUUCCACCUUAAUGGCACCGUCGACUAAGUACUAUAGCGUGCUAUGCAUAAACUGUACCACACGUACGUGCGUGCAUAAUGACGCGUUCACUUUACGCGACGCGGGUAACGCAGGAACUACUGUAUAAUAACGGCUGCAAUUCCGAGAUGUAAUUAUCCAUGAAGAACGAUAACGAUCGUUACGCUAUCGCGAUAAAAAAAAAAAAGUACGAUAACGAUAAAUGAAAAAAAUUUUAUUGAGUAAAAUUAAAAUCACCUAAUCGUCUAAUGGGUAAAAAAAAAAAUUAUAAUAAAAAUUGUCGAAUCCAAAAAAUUUUGGAAUUUCAUGACGUCAUAGGACGUCGGGAUCUUCGUACACCGCGUAGAUGGUACAGCGUUUUCCUUUUAGAGGUAACGUCCGCAGGACGUGUAGUUCAAUUUACAAUAAUCCGUGAUCCCGUCUUGACUCAACAUUUUCGAACAAUGGCGUCCUUCAGUCCCAUCAACACUUUCUUCCAAGCGUAACACAACAGCGUCACUUGAGCGAUAACACAAGAGAAUAAUUUUUUCAGAAGCUCAAGUGCACUCUUUAGUUCAUCCGUUCAGGGCGCCACCGUCUGGAUACACCAGAGCCGUCUCUAUCGGGAGGGUGCUAAUUGGCGGUUUAGCUCAACUGGGAUAGUAGUCUGAGGACCAGCCCCCCAAUUAGACACCAAUAGGGUAACACGUAGAGCAACAGAAGCGAAAACAGAACGUUUUUGUGGAAACAAGUGACCACCCUUGUAGACGGAAGACAGAGGCAGACCUGGUAAAGUUCCUGAACGCCUGCACGUCAAUGCUGGGGAUAUAUUUAUGCGUGACCCUAGGAGGAUACUCCUGAAUAAGAUCCACCGAGCGCCAACCGACUGCAGCCAACUUCGGGGCGUGGUGUGACAAAGACGUGGGUGUGGUGGAGUUAAUUACUGUGUAAACGUCAAGAGAACUCUCGUGUCCAUAUACGCCGGAUGUUCAAAUUUGACCAAAUUACGUUAUCUUUGUCUCCUUUUUCUCGUCCAUCCUUUAUCUUUCGAGAGUCGAUGUUACAGCAACGGCAGCAACGUCAACAAACGGUACCCAACCUCAGAAGCAUCGAGUCGGACAAAAUUAUGAAAGGGACUGUCC